AAUCCAGGGAUAGGUGGAGUCCCUCUAAAGCCCUAAGGGUGGAGGGGGAAGGUAAAGGAGGUCCCAGAGUGGGGAGGCAUUUGGGGCCAGUCAACACCAAGGUUCCCCAUUUCUAGGGCUAGAUUCUGGGUCCUGAAUGACUCCUCCAUGGGCAGCCUGAGGACCUCCACUGUUCCCAAGUCCUACCUGGGUAGAUGACAUCCACCAAUCCAGCUCUGGCCAGACUGGUGCUGUUAAACACCUGUUCUACAGAUGGACAAACCCAGGAAGAGGAAGUAUCCUACCCAAGGGACCCCGAGUUCCAGCCCUGGUCAGGGAACUAGAUCCCACAUGAUGCAACUAAGAGUUUGAAUGCCACAACUAAAGAUCCUGCGUGCCACAACAAAGAUCAAAGAUCCUGCAGGCUGCAACUGAGACCCAGCGCAGCCAAAUAAAUAAAUAAAAAUGAAUACAUUAAUAAAUAAAGCAGGGUGGAUGAGCAAAAAUUCUGGUUUCCAGAACUUCCCUGCUGGUUCAGUGGUUAAGAUUCCACUUUAGAGGGCAUGGGUUCAAUCCCUGGUAAGGGAACUACCACAUGACACGUGGUGUGGCCAAAAAAAAAAAAAUCUGGUGUCUAGGACAGAAGGGAGAGUAUGAAACCUAAAACGAAGCCUGAGUCCAGGGCUGGUGGAGAGAAGACAUAGGCUCAGGGCAGAAGGCUGGGGUGGGUACUCACUUUGACCUCAGCUCCUUGUGGGCAGUGUGACCCCUGGGCCUGGGCCAGAACUGCAGAUGGGCAGCAUAGCCAGACUGCAGGUGGAGAGCCAUGUGGACUCCUCCUCAAUCCCAGUCAUGCUCACAGAACCAGGGACUCCUCUGAGAUUUGAGGGAGCUAGCCCCUCCCCUACUACACAGGCACAUACCUCUUUUUCAGCAGAUGUCUGGGGGUCCCAGAAGCUCCACUUACUACUGCAGGACAAGAAAGGGCCACCCUAGAACUCAAAGGCCUGAUUAGCACCCUUGAGCCACACUUACCUUCCAGCCUCAGUGUGCUUAUCCAGAAAAGGGAGAUACUGACCCAGUGCUUAGUUUGGGGUGCUGCCAGGAC
ensembl:lncRNA